rnacentral:rRNA from 1 species
AAAUUGAAGAGUUUGAUCAUGGCUCAGAUUGAACGCUGGCGGCAGGCCUAACACAUGCAAGUCGAACGGUAGCACAGAGAGCUUGCUCUCGGGUGACGAGUGGCGGACGGGUGAGUAAUGUCUGGGAAACUGCCUGAUGGAGGGGGAUAACUACUGGAAACGGUGGCUAAUACCGCAUAACGUCGCAAGACCAAAGAGGGGGACCUUCGGGCCUCUUGCCAUCAGAUGUGCCCAGAUGGGAUUAGCUUGUUGGUGAGGUAACGGCUCACCAAGGCGACGAUCCCUAGCUGGUCUGAGAGGAUGACCAGCCACACUGGAACUGAGACACGGUCCAGACUCCUACGGGAGGCAGCAGUGGGGAAUAUUGCACAAUGGGCGCAAGCCUGAUGCAGCCAUGCCGCGUGUAUGAAGAAGGCCUUCGGGUUGUAAAGUACUUUCAGCGGGGAGGAAGGUGUUGUGGUUAAUAACCACAGCAAUUGACGUUACCCGCAGAAGAAGCACCGGCUAACUCCGUGCCAGCAGCCGCGGUAAUACGGAGGGUGCAAGCGUUAAUCGGAAUUACUGGGCGUAAAGCGCACGCAGGCGGUCUGUCAAGUCGGAUGUGAAAUCCCCGGGCUCAACCUGGGAACUGCAUUCGAAACUGGCAGGCUUGAGUCUUGUAGAGGGGGGGUAGAAUUCUAGGUGUAGCGGUGAAAUGCGUAGAGAUCUGGAGGAAUACCGGUGGCGAAGGCGGCCCCCUGGACAAAGACUGACGCUCAGGUGCGAAAGCGUGGGGAGCAAACAGGAUUAGAUACCCUGGUAGUCCACGCCGUAAACGAUGUCUACUUGGAGGUUGUGCCCUUGAGGCGUGGCUUCCGGAGCUAACGCGUUAAGUAGACCGCCUGGGGAGUACGGCCGCAAGGUUAAAACUCAAAUGAAUUGACGGGGGCCCGCACAAGCGGUGGAGCAUGUGGUUUAAUUCGAUGCAACGCGAAGAACCUUACCUGGUCUUGACAUCCACAGAAGAAUCCAGAGAUGGAUUUGUGCCUUCGGGAACUGUGAGACAGGUGCUGCAUGGCUGUCGUCAGCUCGUGUUGUGAAAUGUUGGGUUAAGUCCCGCAACGAGCGCAACCCUUAUCCUUUGUUGCCAGCGGUCCGGCCGGGAACUCAAAGGAGACUGCCAGUGAUAAACUGGAGGAAGGUGGGGAUGACGUCAAGUCAUCAUGGCCCUUACGACCAGGGCUACACACGUGCUACAAUGGCGCAUACAAAGAGAAGCGACCUCGCGAGAGCAAGCGGACCUCAUAAAGUGCGUCGUAGUCCGGAUUGAGUCUGCAACUCGACUCCAUGAAGUCGGAAUCGCUAGUAAUCGUGGAUCAGAAUGCCACGGUGAAUACGUUCCCGGGCCUUGUACACACCGCCCGUCACACCAUGGGAGUGGGUUGCAAAAGAAGUAGGUAGCUUAACCUUCGGGAGGGCGCUUACCACUUUGUGAUUCAUGACUGGGGUGAAGUCGUAACAAGGUAACCGUAGGGGAACCUGCGGUUGGAUCACCUCCUUA